AACUUUUGACAAUGGAUCUCUUGGUUCCGGCAUCGAUGAAGAACGCAGCGAAAUGCGAUAAGUAAUGUGAAUUGCAGAAUUCCGUGAGUCAUCGAAUCUUUGAACGCACAUUGCGCCCCCCGGCUGCCCGGGGGGCAUGCCUGUCCGAGCGUCAUUGCCAUCCCCUCAAGCUCCGCUUGGCUGGUUGGGUUGACGUCCACCCGUGGCUUUGUGCCAAGGGGGGACGGACCCGAAAGGCACUGGCGGCUCCCGGAGGGUGGUCCCUUGGGGCGGUGAUGCAUUGGUUGUCAUCUUCCACCGCUCUGUUGGCCACGCUCCGGGUGUCUGUCGACCGAUUGGUCUUCCUCUUUAGGUUGACCUCGGAUCAGGUAGGGAUACCCGCUGAACUUAAGCAUAUCAAUAAGCGGAGGCU
rnacentral:misc_RNA from 1 species